UACGGAGGGUGCAAGCGUUAUCCGGAUUCACUGGGUUUAAAGGGUGCGUAGGUGGGUCUGUAAGUCAGUGGUGAAAUCUCCGAGCUUAACUUGGAAACUGCCAUUGAUACUAUAGAUCUUGAAUAUUGUGGAGGUCAGCGGAAUAUGUCAUGUAGCGGUGAAAUGCUUAGAUAUGACAUAGAACACCUAUUGCGAAGGCAGCUUACUACGCAUAUAUUGACGCUGAGGCACGAAAGCGUGGGGAUCAAACAGG
rnacentral:rRNA from 1 species